GACGCACGCCGCCCAGGCCUCACCUCCUGCGGGGCACAGAUCGGCGCCGCUCGCUUGCUUACGUCACAUCCGGCAGGACCCACCUAGAGCAGGCGCGGGGGAGCGCCGGCCUUUGCGAGUCGUUCCUGUGAGUCCAGGGAUGUUUCCAUAUGGCGCCGCCAGCAUCUCGGGAAUCCCGCUGGUUCAUGCGUCCUCACGAAGUUAACCCUUAGCUGGGCGCCGCAGCCCUGAAUCGCGCGCUCCCUUCGGGAGCUCUGGCCGUUUGCUGUGAAGAGGCGUUUUCCUGGAGCGGAGUUGAGUCUUCACGCUUCUUAUGCGCGCUCGAGGUCCCUUUCCUGGAGCGCCUUCCAUGUCCCCUCCGACCUGUUCCCGCUCGUGUCCCCACGGCUCCCUGCCGGGCAUGGAGCCAAACCCCUGCAGCUUGAACUCUCGACCCUGAGAUGAAGAACACCUGAGAUGCUAUCAACAGUCAGAUGCUCAACCGCUGAAUCACCUUAUUCAUAUGUCCUACUUGUAUAGGCAAAACUGGGGAGUAAAUUCCCAGGAGUGGUGGAUACAUCCAUCAACUCCAUACAAGUUAAGUCACUUAUCACUCGCCAGUAAUAUGUGAGCUCAAAUAGUAUUUUAAAUACACUGGGUGUUUUGGAAGUUUCAGUUUAGCUAUUAAAAACAUGUAUUUUCAAGAAAUAACUUGCAUGCCUUUGUUGGUUUACAAAGUGCUUUAAUAUAUUUCAUGAGAUUCUUACAA